rnacentral:lncRNA from 1 species
AUUUCAGAGCAGCACCAUAGAAUGAUGGGAAAGAAAGAUACAAACUAGUUCACUUUGCUACUUAAUAGGUUUCUGGUAAAUGCAAGACCAGACUAGAAAGUAGACUAAAAUAAGAUUUCCCCAAGUUCUACCUCAGAAUUUCAAUUAUUCAUGCGUUCCUUGGCUUCUGCCACGAUGACUAAUCGAGAGCUAGCUAAGAUGAAGGCAGCGAUGAAAAGCAGUACAUUUUCAAGGAGCAAAAGAAAUCAGGAUAGACCUAAAGGAAAAUGAUAAGUCCUAAAAAUCUAGGAGAAAAAAAAGAGUCUAGAAAUUGUAGUGACAGAAAUUUAAUUUGCUUUGACUCCCUAGAGCAUUUACAUCUGUAUCACCAACUUGGCACUCGGCACCUACUGGCUUGUGCUGUUAUUCGUCCUCGCCACAAGAGCUGGCUUUUAUUUAUUUAUUUAUUUACUUUCGCUUUUUAGGCUGCACGUGCACCAUAUGGAAGUUCCCAGGCUAAGGGCUGAACUGGAGCUGCAGCUGCUGGCCUACACCACAGCCACAACAACUCGGGAUCCAAGCCACACCUGCAACCUACAUGACAGCUCACGGCAAUGCCGGAUCCUUAACCCACUGAGCAAGGCCAGGGAUGGAACCCACAUCCUCAUGGAAUACUAGUGGGGCUUGUUACCGCUGAGCCAUAAGGGGAACUCCAACUUUUUACUGAUAAGAAAAAGGUUUGGGGUAAGGAAGCUGCUCAAGGCCUUUGGGUCUGUGGUAGCAUAAAAGGUGGACCUAAGUCUGGUUGACCCUCAAACCCUUUCCCCCCAGCUUUCCCAGUGUCAAGGGGAACUAGUUACAGGUCUUAUUCUCCUUCCUAAGGAAACUGUAAGCAGCCAAAUGGAAGGUGGGGUUGGAAUCCUUAAUGGGACAGGGACCUAGAGGUUCCAUAUCAUUGCUUCGCUCACUGUCUCCUGGGCAGGGCUCAGUAAGUGCUACUGACUGUGUCUCCAUCUUGGGAGGGGAUUUUUGUUUGUUUCUGUGCCAUUGUUGUUUCUCCAGAAAGGCCAGCUGCAGCAAUGCUGUUGCUGUGUAUGGGAUAGCAGGGAUCCUGCCACUGACAGUAUAGACUGUGUCAGGUAAUAUAACACUAUUUAAAAUGUGCACAACCCUGUGCUUUCAGUUAUAGGCAGGUAAUAUACACACACAUCCAUUCCAGCAGCCCUUGCGGGGCAGGCAAAGGGGUGCAAACUGCUUCAUCCAAGCAGGCACUGAGUAUCACUGCCAACGCAGUGACAGCGGUCAGGCUGUCUCACUCCACUCUAAAGAUAGCUUUGUCAGGAAGAGAGGCACUGCAAUCUGUCACGACGAAUGGAAGUGUAAUCUCACCAGCCUGAAAAGCAGGGGUCACAUUGAGCCCCUUUUACAGAACAGAAAGAAAUGCUAGCAUGUCAGGGUGUCUAAGCUGAAAAGAGAAAGCAGUUUAGCUGCUGGCUGGAUAGCUCUGUUUCAUUAAUUUAAAACAAAUGAGUGGCCCCAAAGAAAAGAUGGAAAUUGUGUCCCUGCUUAUGAAAAAUUACUGUAAGUUUUUCACAUAUUCUUGUCAAUUCAUUCAGCGGUACUUAACCAGCAUAUUCCAGAGACUGCAAUACAAACACUGCCAUCCUCACAGGGACCACAGCUUCCACAGGGGUCACCACUCAACUCAGUGAACACGUAUGUACCAUUUUCAUCCACAGGAAGAUAAGUAGUUAACUCAGUGAGAGAUGAAAUUCGAGGUCUUUCUCAGAAACUAGGCCUACAAUCUUGGAAGCUUUUGGAAACUAUCAUACAGACAAAAAGGACCAUCCCGGAAAGUCUUUCUUCCAAAAAUUGUUAAAAAUGAUAAAUGGACCCUCCAUCACUUUGGGCCAGACCAUAUGUCCCUCUGACAUUAUUCAAGAAACAAAUGGAGAUGGAAUAGCGAUUCCUCAAUCCUCAAAAACUUUAUAGUGCCUUCUGGGCUUCAUUUGCUCCAUUUUUAGUAGCCAAAGGACCAUGCUUCAGCCUGCAGCUGUCCUGUCCUGCUCCAGGAGCCCCACCGGCUUCCUAAGUGACCUUGGGUAAAGUGCUUAACCUUCUUGCAUUUUAGUGAGUCCAACUGCGAAAUCAGAAAGAUAAUGACAACAACAAUAACAAGGCUCAGGACCUCCAUACCUCGCUGAAGGUUUAUGAAUUAAUCAUAUUGGACUCUGAAAGUGCUUUUAUGCUGUUAAAGCAUUUGACAAGAGUUAGCAAAUUCCCACACUAAUGUAAUAUAUAUGGUCCAGAGAAUUACGUCAGAGGCUAUGCGUGGCAGAGUGCAUUGCAGGUUACUUUGUGGUAACAUUAAAAGAGAUGCAUUCUUUAACUGCCUUUGCUAUUUACCCUAGGGAGGAACAGGAAGAAAAGCAGUUUUAAAACCCUGCAUCCAGUUUAGUGAGAAUUAUAAAAGUAUCUGAGUAAAGGAUGAGCCUUUGACAGUUUUAAUGCAAGCUCUGGAAAGAGGUAAUGGAUAACUGUGAGGUGACUGAUCCUCCAUUUUAUCCCAGCAGUUUAUUCCUUUUUCCCAACUCUGCCUUAACACUGUCACAAUGGCCUCCUCGCUCACACUCCUCCAUAACCUGCCCUUCUCUUCCAUCAAAGAUGCAACUUCGAAGGCUGACCCUGAAUCUAUCCAUCUAGUUGCACGGAGAACAUCUUAACUAUCAAAUGAAAUCACCAUUAUUUUGAUAGAUCACGUGAUGCAUUGUUAAUUGCACUGAACUUUAUGCUGACACAUGACCACUGUUAGACCAUCAGCGUAGGUGCCAAGCCCUAGGCUCCCACUUCCUAAAUAGUAACGUGGACCAGGCAUAGGGCUCCUCGGUUCCAUAGGCACGGAUGGUGCUUAUUAAUGUACAAACAGUGCUUAGACAUUUAUCAGAGCACAAGGUUUCAAAAACACACCAUCACCAAUACUCACUACCUGGACUCGACACAUGUGACUCUGUAGAUAACAUUUCAGACUCCAUGUCCUUCAUCAGGAAUGUGGAAGAUGUGGACCAAAACUUCCUUAUCGGAAACCUGUUCAGUUUACAUGGCUCCUGUGCCUUCCUGUAUCUGUUGGGUGCCUUCCUCAUCUCAUGCUGCCCAGUAUCAUUCAAAGACUCCCAGGUCUCCUUUCCUAUAAAAACAGAUCUGCCAGCAAAUUGUUCAGUCCUGAGAUAUAGAGACACACACACACACACACACACACACACACACACACACGAGGCUUUGCAGCAUCUCAUCAUCAAGUGGUUGCGGCUGAUGCUUACUUGUGUCAUGACUGGUGUGCAAGAGUCAUUGAACAAUGGCGUGAGAACCUAAGUGCGAACCACUGGGAGGUCUGGGGCACUGCUGUAAAACCCUGAGGAACUACUUUGUAAGGCAAAUAGUUUCUUCUGUUUCUGCUUUAAAGCAUCUCUUUGAUGGAGCAGUGGGUUCCUGCCCCAGGGCUGCCCCUGAGCAGGAAUAGGACCUUGGACAGAUACCUCAGUUCCUUAAGCCACUGACACUCCUUCAAAGGCUUGAACUUGAUAACCUCUCAGCUCCCCAUUAAUCUUAUACAUAUAUGAAUGAUUCCAUGAUUUUUCAUAAUCAUGUCUUUUUUUUUUGGAGCCACACCCACAGUAUAUGGAGGUCCUCAGGCUAGGGGUCUAAUCUAAUCGGAGCUGCUGCUGCCAGCCUACGCCAGAGCCACAGCAACGCCAGAUUCAAGCCGCGUCUGCAACCUACACCACAGCUCACGGCAAUGCCGGAUCCUUAACCCACUGAGCAAGGCCAGGGAUUGAACCCGCAAUCUCAUGGUUCCUAGUUGGAUUUGUUUCUGCUGCACCACGACUGGAACUCCAAUCAUGUCUUUUUUUAAAGAUACAUUAAAGGAAUGCAGACACCCUCUAUGAUUUUUUAAAUAACCAAUCCUAAUUUUCUAUGCAGCUUUUGGAAAGCUGGAGUAAAGGAUAAACUUCUAUUUAGAAUCCACACACACACACACAAAGAAAAAAAAAACACACACAUUGCACAUAAAUAAGAAGAGGUAACGGACAUAAAAUUAAAAGUAAGCAUCAAUUGAAAUAAAAUCCAAACUGUUGUUCCUAUACCAGAAGAUGGAAAGCUGGAGAUAACAAAGAGGAUCCUGCGGGGAACCUGGCCUCUCCUUUCACUGCUCUCCUUCCUAUUAAUUGAUCCCCAAAGAUGCGGAAAAUAUUUAGGCAAUUUUUUUUUUUAAUGUCCUGAAUGGCAAGAACAGAGCUACAAUAAAGUCAAAUCAAGAGGAAGUAAGUCCAUAAAAGCCUGAUAGGGAACAAAGCAAGGUGGACAAAAUCAAAGUCUCUAAAGGGUGGAUGGAUGAAUCAGCCUUAUAAAAUUCCACUUCUGGUUACACCUGUGCUAAGGCAGAUCUCAGGUGUAUCAGUCUCUAUGUUAGCUACGUCUCCACUCUGGAAACAAUGAUAUGCUGGAUGCAUCAUGAGUACCAAUGUGCUGGAGUGUUUAGCGGAAAGAUAUGACUAUUACAAAUAAGCAGUCACUAAUGUUGGAAUUACAGCUACAUCUGUGGCCAUGUAAUUAGCUGUAAAGCUCAGCAUCUGUCAUGAAAUUGCAACUACGAUAUGUGAACUGAUAACACCAACAAUUAAAACAAUAACACCACAGAGCCUCAAAGAAGCUUUAAUUAUUCAUUUAAUUUGGAAAGUAAAGCUGGAGAGGGCAGCUGCUAAAUAUCUAGCUUUUCUUGACUCAGUCCUGCUCAUCUGGUUUUUGAAUUUUUUCCUACUGUUCAUGUGAUUCCCUUCUGUAUUUAAUGAACCCUGAUUUCCCUGGAAGUCCUACAAAAUAGACCACUGUUCAAUCCCAGUACUUUCAAUUACGUCGGAUGUGUGAGCAUAUUAUUAGCUCUCUAAAAUGGACCAUCAACCCAAACUUCACUAGAAUAAGGGCUACUCUGAUAUUUAAUGCACUCAAAUAGUGCAAUUAAAAUAAAGACAGUGACUGCUAUGUAUCUCUAAAUUUAGUCAACAAAAAUUUGUGAGUCUACCAUGUAAAUGUCGUUCACUAAAUGCAGUUCUACCUCCAUUUAAAUUACUCUAAAACUUUAUAGUCAAGAAAAGCAAAAGGGGGAGUUCCCAUCGUGACUCAGCAAGUUAAGAACCCAACUAGUAUCCAUGAGGAUGUAGGUUCAAUCCCUGGCCUUGGUCAGUGGGUCAAGGAUCCGGCAUUGCCACGAGCUGUGGUACAGGCCAGCAGCUACAGCUCCGAUUUAACCCCCAGCCUGGGAACUUCUGUAUGUUGCAGUUGAGGCCCUAAAAAGAAAAGUAAAGAAAAAGGGAUGAGCAAGGAAUAUAAUACAAUCUGUUAUGUAAUGAUGCCAGGGAGGUGUUAUAAAUUUUGAGCCAUAAGUAAGGAAGGGGAAGGGUGACUUCUGAUCUGAGAUCAGAGAAAAACUUAGGGCAGAGGUGGCCUUAGAAGUGAUUCUCAGUCUCGGUAAAGAGGGAAAAUGACCUUUCUGACAGACAGGCUAGUGUGAAGGGUAACUCAGAAGCAAGAAAGAGCAGGGGGAGCUUGGGAGACGCAGAAUGGCUACAACUGGCUGAAGUCUUAGAUUUAAGGCCUGAGAGGGAGGGAAAGGAUGGGUUGCCUAAAGAGUCUGGAUUUGACUUGGAAGUGAUAAGCUGACCAACAUUUUUAAAUUGGGGAGCUACAGUUCACCAUGGUUCUUCAAGGAUUACCUCUCUGAUGAGGAUGGGCAGGAUCCAUUGCAAAGGAAAUCCCUGUCAUUUGUUGGGGCCACAAUAACAAUCUAAGAAGAACCUGGUGAGGAGGACAGGGAGUGGAGAUGGUAGGAAAGAAGAGAGACAUUCUUCCUCCUAGAGUAGGGCUGCCCCAUGCAACGUUCUGUGAUGAUGAUGGAAAUAGCCUAUAUCUGCCCAUCCAAAUUGGUAGCUUCUGGCCACUCACGCCUAAGAAGAACUUGAAAUGAGGCUAGUGGGACAGAGAAAGUGAAUUUUAGGUUGUAUUUAAUUUUAAGUACCUUAAAUCAUUCAAUGUGUCUAGUG